UCAAAAUAGCCACCAGGAAAAGUUAACUCUUUCCUGGAUAGGUAUGUUUAGUGGGACAAGACUGCCCUCUAUAGACCAAAUAACUAAAUUGCGAUCUGGAAGAUAACCACACCUCUAGUGCUUCUAUUGCGUUAUCAACUGAUGACGUACAGAGAGUCUGGCCCUUUAAAAGUUAGGACAAAGGGAAGACAAGGAAUGAAAAGGAGAAAGAAAAAGAGGAGAGAGGAAUUGGAAGUUUGGGGACUCCAACUCGACAU